UACAGAGACUGCGAGCGUUAUUCGGAUUCACUGGGCGUAAAGGGUGCGCAGGCGGCCAUGUGUGUGAGGCGUGAAAGCCCGGGGCUUAACCCCGGAAUUGCACCUCAAACUACAUGGCUAGAGCAUUGGAGAGGGUAGCAGAAUUCACGGUGUAGCAGUGAAAUGCGUAGAUAUCGUGAGGAACACCAGAGGCGAAGGCGGAUACCUGGACAAAUUACUGACGCUCAGGCACGAAAGCGUGGGGAGCGAACAGG
rnacentral:rRNA from 1 species